rnacentral:rRNA from 1 species
GACGAACCGUGCGAACGUUGUUCGGAUUCACUGGGCUUAAAGGGCGCGUAGGCGGGCUUGCCAGUCAGGGGUGAAAUCCUCCGGCUCAACCGGAGCAGGGCCUUUGAUACUGCAAGUCUUGAGGGAGGCAGGGGCAUGUGGAACUUCCGGGUGGAGCGGUGAAAUGCGUAGAUAUCGGGAAGGAACGCCGGUGGCGAAAGCGACGU